GACAGAGGGUGCAAACGUUGUUCGGAAUUACUGGGCGUAAAGCGCGUGUAGGCUGCUUCGAAAGUCGGAUGUGAAAGCCCUGGGCUCAACCUAGGAAGUGCAUUCGAAACUUCGGAGCUGGAGUUCUGGAGAGGAAGGCGGAAUUCUCGGUGUAGAGGUGAAAUUCGUAGAUAUCGAGAGGAACACCGGUGGCGAAGGCGGCCUUCUGGACAGUGACUGACGCUGAGACGCGAAAGCGUGGGGGAGCGAACAGG
rnacentral:rRNA from 1 species